rnacentral:lncRNA from 1 species
AAGGCGGAGCUCCCCUGGAUGGCGUCAGGUUUGCAGGCACAGAGCACAGCCCACCAGGCCUGAAGGUCCGCUCAGGGGCCAUAGUGGUUGAGUUCUCUGUGGAACUGGGAUGGGGUGAACGGCCAGUUCCCGUCCUUUGGCCACCUGGCCAACUGCCAGACUUAACCGCUGCCGCCCAGGAAUCUGUCUCUAGCGUAGCCACUACUUGGGUAGAAGUGGGGGUCGGGGUGGGGCGUCACCGGUUGCCAGGCCAGCACUGUCUUUGCAACAUAUUCAGAUGGCGGCGGGCAGCUCAGGCGCCAGCAUGGGCUGGCGGGGCUCCCCUGGACGGCCCUCAGGUCGCUCACAGCAUUGUCCCAGGACUUCCUCGGCCUGUGCCAGGUGGGCAAGGUACGGGGGUAGCUUCGAAGGCUUCUAUCCCAACUCUACCUAUUUCUAUCUAUCUUCUCUUGAGUUAUUUUGCCUUUAUCUCAGUUUUAUUUGCAAAAAUAGUAUACGCAAAAUACAUCGAGUGAAUGCACAUCAGGCAUAUAGAAGAUCUGGCAGAAACAUGUUUUCUCCUGCCCAUUUCCAGUCAGUAUUUGAACACAGAGGCUUCCACGGUUUUGAUUCUUUCCACAAAAGGUUAGUUUUGUCUGUUUUCACCAUUUAUGUAAGUGAAACUAUAAAUUAUAUAAUUUUUAUGUUCACUCACUAAACAUGCUUGUGACACAUCAUUUUGCUCCUAUUGAUUAUUCAUUAUUUUCUAAUAUUCAACUUUAUGACUAUACCACAGGUUUGAGGCCUUUGCUUGUUUUGUUUUUAAUCCAUUCCACUAUUGAUAGACACAAAAGCAGUUUCUGAUUUGAGGCUAUCAUGAAUAAACCUGCUACGAACAAAUCAGAUAUACAUAUUUUUUUCUGUAAUAAUAUUUUCACUUUUCUUGAGUUUAAGUACAUAAGAGUGGAUUUUCUGGGUUAUAAAAUAAGUAUAUAUUUGGCAUUGUAUGAAAUGGGGAGACAUUUUCCUAAGUGGUUAUGCCAUCUUAAACUACAAUGAAAAUGAGAGAAUCAGUUCCACUUUCUAACCAAUACUUGAUGCUGUCAGUUGUUUUAGUAUUAUCCAUUCUUAUGGGAUAUAACUGCUGAGUAGCUGUCUGCCUUCUCCCAUGACACAGAAAAUUGAGGGCCCAGAGGACAGUUUUAUUUUCAUAUUUGACAUCUUCUAUUAUUUUUUAUAGAAGGAUGAUUUCAGUAGUAAAAUUUUCUUUCAAUUUUCUAGGUUGUCUCUGAAUCUUACUGGGGUUCCUUGUCCUAAACCACUCUCAGGAAUGCUGUCCCUCAUUGGGACCACAACACCCAGAUGAUUUUUUUUUUUUUUGUAGAAAGAGGAGCCUUGCUAUGUUGCCCAAGCUGGCCUCAAACUCCCACCCUCGAGAUCUGCCCAUCUCGACAACCAGAGUAACUGGUUCUACAGGAAAAUACCACUAUCCCAUGAUAAUUAUAUUUUAUUAAUUUUUAUUUGCAUAGACAGGAGGUCUUGCUAUGUUGCCCAGGGUGGUCUCAGACUCCUGGACUCAAACAAUUCUCCCAUCUGUGCCAUCUGUGCCUCCCAAAGUGCUCCCAAAGUGCUGACGCCACAGGCGUAAGCCACUGCACCUGGCCCGACUUAAGAUGUCUUUAAUCUAGCAUCCCAUACUUCAUAUAAUCAGGAAAAGCAGUAGUGUUUUUUUUUUUUAAUUACUUAGUAUCUCAACAAGAAUCAACCAUCUCUCACCAUUGCCAGGACCCUGGUCAGAACCACUAUCAUCUCCUACCUGGAUGUUGCCACAGCUUGGCCUCCGUGCUUCUACCCAAAUCUUCCCACAAUCUUUCUCAACUCAGCCACCAUGGGAUGCUUUUAAAUCAAUAGACAGUUCGUGUCACCUCUCUGCUCAGAACCCUUCCGCAUCUCCCAUCUCAGACAGCAUAAAAGCCAAAGCCCCAGCAAUAGCCUCCCAGGGCUUGCACAAUCUGUACUGAUCUGAGUCCCACAACUCCCUGGCCUCCUCCCCUACCUUCUCUCCCCCUCUCUGCUCGACAAUCCUCUUUCCUGAGCUUCAGACACACCACGGAGUUCCCUCUUAGCAUCUUUAUUCUGUUGUUUCUGCCUAUAAUGCUCUUCCCUCAGUACCUUGGCCAGCUCCUUCCCCUCCUUCAAGUCUUUGCUCAAUUUUCACUUAGGAGGCCAACCCUGACCACUCUAUUUAAUAUUGCUAUGUGUCCCCAUUCCUGCCAUGCUCACUCAUUUCUUUUUACUUUUUUUUUAAGAUAUAAUCUCGCUGUGUCACUCAGGCUGGGGCACCAUGGCACGAUCACAACACACUGAGACCUGGAACUCCUAGGUCAAGAAAUCGUCCUGCCUCAGCGCCUCUAGUAGCUAAGACUACAAGUGCAUGCCACUACACCCGCUAAUUUUUUUUUCCCAUGUAGACAGGGUAUCACUUUGUUGCCCAGGCUUAUCUUGAACUCCUGGGCCAGAGCAACCAUCCUGCCUCAGCCUCCUAAAUAGCUGGAAUUAUAGGUGUGGGCCACUACCCCUGGCUUCAUGUUCAUUUCUUCUUGCUGCUGUUACAAACUACCCUACGUUGAGUGGCUUAAUACACCACAAAUCUACUACCUAACAGGUCUGGGGGCCAGAAGUCCAAAAUAGGUCUAUUAAGGCUAAAGUCAAGGUGUCAGCAGGACUGCAUCCCUUCUGGAGGUUCCAGAGAGAAGGUGUUCCCUUGCCUUUCCCAGUUCCAAAAGCCACCCCUAUUCUUUGCCUCAUGGCCCCUAAAUGCAUCUUCAAAGCCAGAAGCAAAGCAUAUUCAAAUCUCCCUCUGUGACCUGUGCUUCCACCAUCAAAUCUCCUUCAAUUCUGACUCUCUUACCUCCCUCUUUCACUUAUAAAGACCUCUUGUGAUUGCUGGACACAGAGGCCGGGGCUCACAACCAUAAUCCCAACAGUUUAGGAGGUCAAAGCAGGAGAAAUGCUUGAGGCCAGAAGUUCGGGACCAGCCUGGGAAACACAGUGAGACCCCCCCCCCCUCAAUUAAACAACAAAAAGAAAUAAGAGAAAAUUAGCUGGGCAUGGUGGUAUGCAUCUGUAGUUUCAGCUACUUGAGAGGCUGUGGUGAAAGGAUUGCUUUAGCCCCAGAGUUCAAGACCAGCCUCGGCAAUAUAACAAGAUCCCAUCUCUAC